rnacentral:lncRNA from 1 species
UCAGCAUUGUGAACAAUUUGCCUAUAAGGAAAUAUUCCUUACAAGCCACUGCUAUAAGAAUAUUUUGGACUGCACUACACCUACAAGUAAAUGACUUCAAACUGUUUGUUUUCUGAGAUUUUUCUUCAGUAUUUGGGUUGCUGUUCUAUCUAUUGAAGUGGGUACUACAAUGUUAUUCGAGAAUUGUUCUUUCCAAAUCAUCGACACUAUGCAGAAAGAGAAGCAUUAUGCAGAUGCCGAACAUGGUAUAUUAUGGGACAUUUGUAAUGUUGUAUACCCAAAG